AGAGGGGGCAAGCGUUGCUCGGAAUUACUGGGCGUAAAGGGCGUGUAGGCGGGAUGGCAAGUCGGUCGUGAAAUCCUUCGGCUCAACCGAAGAACGUCGAUCGAUACUGCUGUUCUUGAGGGUUGCAGAGGAGACUGGAAUUCCCGGUGUAGCGGUGAAAUGUGUAGAGAUCGGGAGGAACACCGGUGGCGAAGGCGGGUCUCUGGGCAAUUCCUGACGCUGAGGCGCGAAAGCGUGGGGAGCAAACGGGAUUAGAUACCCCGGUAGUCCACGCUGUAAACGAUGACGACUAGGUGUGGGGGGGUUCAGUCCCCUCCGUGCCGCAGCUAACGCAUUAAGUCGUCCGCCUGGGGAGUACGGCCGCAAGGUG
rnacentral:rRNA from 1 species